rnacentral:rRNA from 1 species
CCUACGGGGGGCUGCAGUAGGGAAUCUUCGGCAAUGGACGAAAGUCUGACCGAGCAACGCCGCGUGAGUGAAGAAGGUUUUCGGAUCGUAAAACUCUGUUGUUAGAGAAGAACAAGUACGAUAGUAACUGUAAGUCCCUUGACGGUAUCUAACCAGAAAGCCACGGCUAACUACGGGCCAGCAGCCGCGGUAAUACGUAGGUGGCAAGCGUUGUCCGGAUUUAUUGGGCGUAAGGCGAGCGCAGGCGGUUGCUUAAGUCUGAGGUGAAAGCCCCCGGCUCAACCGGGGAGGGUCAUUGGAAACGGGGAGACUUGAGUGCAGAAGAGGAGAGUGGAAGUCCAUGUGUAGCGGUGAAAUGCGUAGAUAGAUGGAGGAACACCAGGGGCGAAGGCGGCUCUCUGGUCUGUAACUGACGCUGAGGCUCGAAAGCGUGGGGAGCAAACAGGAUUAGAUACCCCGGUAGUC